AUUAGCAAUUUUGUGAUAAGUGCAAUGGGUCCAAAAGGACCCAUCAAAGAUGAUUUCACCCACAGUGUACCAGGCGCAAUAAUGGCUCCAGGCAACUGGGGCCUGGACUUUCCCCUUCCUCCUUCCAAUAGCCCCCUUCUUAGCAGAUGAGUGGGAAUCCCCCAUCUCCCAGUGGCUGAGCAUAGACUCCACUGCUCCGAUCCAGAGAGGGAAGUUGGGAAUUGGAAAUAUGGCCUGAGGUUCCUGGAGAGUGCAAAGAGGGUGAAGGAGAGAUCUCUACUUCUCAUGCUCUCUACCCCAUUUGUCUUUCAUUUUCCCAUUGCUGGCAAGGAAAGGAGGGAGUAGUUCUUCAGCUUCCCUUCCUCUACAACUUGGUUUCUCUUCUCUCUUUUUUUUUUCUUGAGUUUCUUUCCGUAGUCUUGAGCCCAGAAACUGCAGGACAAAAGUAGUGGUGUUAGGAGUAGGGAUGGAAGGUGGACCUAACAGAUAACUUCUUUCUACUCCUCUUUCUCAUAUCCACUCUGUUUUUUGUUUCCCACUAGGCUAUCCACAAUCUCACCACUGGAUACUAGAUUAUGAUGACAGCUGGGGAUCCUGGGCUGUUAGUUCAAUAAUGGGUGGCAUUCAUCAGGAAGACUCUUACCAGCAAUGGGCCUAUAAGUUUGUGAGGAAUUGUGACAGAGAUGGGUACAGAAGGCAGGAAAAGAAGCUCAGUUCUCAAGUGAUUUCCAGCAGGAGUGAUGCAAAAGCUGAAAGGCUUCAUACUACAGGAAGAGGAUAUGGUUAAAGGCACCAGGAUGUCUACAAAACAGAUUUAUUUCCAUCUCAGCAGGAGGCAGCCAUGUUUCUCUAAGUGUUGAUUAAACUGUUCCUCCAUGGUGGC
rnacentral:lncRNA from 1 species